rnacentral:rRNA from 1 species
UACAGAGGGGGCAAGCGUUGUUCGGAAUUACUGGGCGUAAAGGGCGCGUAGGCGGCCCGCUAAGUCGAACGUGAAAUCCCCGGGCUCAACCCGGGAACUGCGUCCGAUACUGGCAGGCUUGAAUCCGGGAGGGGGAUGCGGAAUUCCAGGUGUAGCGGUGAAAUGCGUAGAUAUCUGGAGGAACACCGGUGGCGAAGGCGGCAUCCUGGACCGGCAUUGACGCUGAGGCGCGAAAGCCAGGGGAGCAAACGGG